UGAGGUUGAAUUUACAUACAAUAAAUGCAUUCAUUUUAUGUAUAUAAAUUGAUGAGUUUGACAAAUGAACAUACCCCCUUCACCACCGCGUCAAUCAAAGUAAAGAAUAUUUUCAUCACCUGGAAAUCUCCCCUCUCCCAGCCCAGGCAACAUGAUGUACUACUCUCUUUUACAGUUCUGCCUGUUCUAGAAUUUCAUAUAAAUGGGGUGGAAGCACAUGGUACAUAUUCUCUUGUGAACGGCAUUUUGGCUUUCUUCACUCAGCAUGGUUUUUUUGUUUUUGGUGAGACAGAGUCUCGCUCUGUCACCCAGGCUGGAGUGCAGUGGUUUGAUCUCAGCUUACUACAACCUCUGCCACCUGGGUUCAAGAGAUUCUCCUGCCUCAGCGUCCCGAGUAGUUGGGAUUUUUUUCUUGUAUUUUUAGUAGAGAUUGGGUUUCACCAUGUUCGGUCUAGCGGAAGAAAGAGGCAUGUUUUAAACAAAUGGACAAACAUAAAAAGAAAAAUCAUAAAAUGACCCACUAACUGUAAUGUGUAAUAGGCUUGGGUUGGAAGAGUAGGCA
rnacentral:lncRNA from 1 species